rnacentral:rRNA from 1 species
CCUACGUGGCGCAGCAGUGAGGAAUAUUGGUCAAUGGGCUUACGCCUGAACCAGCCAAGUCGCGUGAGGGAAGACUGCCCUAUGGGUUGUAAACCUCUUUUGUCAGGGAGCAACGCCGGCUACGUGUAGCCGGACUGAGAGUACCUGAAGAAAAAGCAUCGGCUAACUCCGUGCCAGCAGCCGCGGUAAUCCGGAGGAUGCGAGCGUUAUCCGGAUUUAUUGGGUUUAAAGGGUGCGUAGGCGGAAUGCAAAGUCCGCGGUAAAAACGCGGGGCUCAACCUCGCUCCGCCGUUGAAACUGGUCUUCGUGAGUAAGCGAGAAGUAUGCGGAAUGCGUGGUGUAGCGGUGAAAUGCAUAGAUAUCACGCAGAACUCCGAUUGCGAAGGCAGCAUACCGGCGCUCAACUGACGCUGAGGCACGAAAGCGUGGGGAUCGACCAGGAUUAGAUACCCCUGUAGUC